rfam:Glycine max cultivar Williams 82 chromosome 6, whole genome shotgun sequence.
UGCUGUGGGUGAUGAGAAUAAUUAUUUUACAGUUAUCCCUGGCUGAUGUAGCAGCUGCUGAAAAUUUGUAAUCUGACAUGCA